AGUCAUGGCCAUGCCACCCUGAACGUGUCCGAUCUCAUCUGACCUUGGAAGCUAAGCAGAGUCAGGCCUGGUUAGUACUUGGAUGGGAGACCACUUUGGAAUACCAGGUGCUGUAGGCA
rfam:Pteropus alecto contig87140, whole genome shotgun sequence.